UCCGGGCACGCGCCCGGACUUUCGUCGGUGGGCGCCAAACCCCGCGGUCAGCGACGCGCGGGCUGCGGCUCUCCGCGUUCGGGUUCCGAGUCAGAACCCCGGAGGAUUCGAAAGCCCGGGCGGGGGGCGCGGAAGGGAUUCCACCUUGAAAACCUCGGGGAGACUGUGGGAACUGAUUCUUUUUUCUGCUUGCUCACCUUUCAAUAUGAAGGAGGAUCAAGUUGUGCUGGAAGAACCAGGAUUCCAAGAUGAAGAGGAAUCUUUGUUUCAAGACAUUGACCUGUUACAAAAACAUGGGAUUAAUGUGGCUGACAUUAAAAAACUGAAGUCAGUAGGAAUCUGCACCAUCAAAGGGAUACAAAUGACAACAAGAAGGGCACUAUGCAAUGUCAAAGGGCUCUCAGAAGCAAAAGUGGACAAGAUUAAAGAGGCGGCCAACAAACUUAUUGAACCAGGAUUCUUGACUGCCUUUGAGUAUAGUGAGAAGAGAAAGAUGGUUUUCCAUAUUACCACUGGGAGCCAGGAAUUUGAUAAGUUGCUAGGAGGUGGAAUUGAAAGCAUGGCAAUCACAGAAGCUUUUGGAGAAUUUCGUACUGGAAAAACCCAGCUCUCUCAUACCCUCUGUGUGACAGCUCAACUUCCAGGAGCAGGUGGCUACUCAGGAGGAAAGAUUAUCUUCAUUGAUACAGAAAAUACUUUCCGUCCAGAUCGUCUUCGGGACAUUGCUGACCGCUUCAAUGUAGACCAUGAUGCAGUACUGGACAAUGUACUUUAUGCACGUGCAUAUACUAGUGAACAUCAGAUGGAGCUACUUGAUUAUGUAGCAGCAAAGUUCCACGAAGAGGCUGGCAUCUUCAAGCUAUUGAUCAUUGAUUCAAUAAUGGCCCUUUUCCGAGUGGAUUUCAGCGGUCGUGGGGAGUUGGCUGAACGGCAACAAAAAUUGGCCCAGAUGUUGUCACGACUCCAAAAAAUCUCAGAAGAAUAUAAUGUGGCUGUGUUUGUGACCAAUCAAAUGACUGCUGAUCCAGGAGCAACUAUGACGAGAUUCCAAUGUGAAAGACAUUAACUGCAUGAAUGGUAUGAAGCAAGUUAAAAAGAUUGAGAAGGGGAAGCCGAUCACUUAUUCACUCAAUAAAUACUUAUUGAAAAAUCUACUAUGUACCAACCUUCUGGGAAUUCACUAGUGAGCAAAAGACUAUGUGCCUUGCCUUCUUAAAGAAGAAAAUAAGUGAUGUCCACUUAACUCAAAAUUGUGAAGACUUGGUAGGUCACGCAUUGCCUGUAGUCCUUGAGUGGUUAAGGCAAUCUUCUCUGUUUUAUAGGGUGUCUUUCAUACACAGGACAUGAAGUACUUCACAAAGAGUGUAAUUUUAAACUGAAGAGAAAUGGAAGAUUUUUAGGGCUCACUUUAAAAAGAGAAAAUGACUCAUUGGCUCAGAGGGAGGAAGUGGGUUGCAUUCAAAUAAAACAGUACAAGUUAAAGAGCAAUGUUCUUUCUUCAGGUGUGAGGAGGGAACACUGCAGAGGCCAAAACUGUCUAUCUAGAGUUAGAAGGCAAAGGAGAUCUGUGGAAAUUGGGUCAGAUAGGGGUUCUUUUUCUUCUAUUUGUAGAAAGUUUCAAAAAGAGUAAAACCAUUUUGAAUGGACUCCAAUAAGACACUAAAAGGAGAAAUAGAGAGGUGACAGAGAGGAAAUAAUUGAAGGAACUGAAGAGAGGAGGAGAUUUAUAACGAAGUGAGCCAAGAGCCAGAGAAAGUAACAAAGACUAGUAUUUUUGCUGGGUGACUCUGCUUUGAAACAUCAUCUCCUCUAUUGAGCCAAGUUGUGAGCAAACUUCACUAUAAUUAGUAUAUUCUGAAGUAUGUUAAAUUAUAACAAUAUAAAUUAAAUGCAUGCCUUCAUAUAAAGCACAUAAGUUGCCACAACUCAAUCAAAAACAACAACAACAACAACAACAACAACAGUACAGUUUUAAACUAAAGGAUCUCAAAUGCUAUUAGAAAACCUCCAAUAAAGAAAAUCUUUGUUUCUCAGUGUUGAAGAACUCCAAGCUGCAGCUCGCCUGGGACCUGUCAGAGAAAUAGCACUAUAAUUGUUUUCAGGCAGACCCCAAAAAACCCAUCGGGGGACACAUUCUGGCUCAUGCUUCAACAACAAGAAUAAGCUUAAGAAAAGGAAGAGGAGAACUGAGAAUUGCCAAGAUUUAUGACAGGAACCAAUACAAUUUUAUAACCAGAUCAAAGAAAAAAUCAAAUGAGCACACAUAUGGAGCCAAAUGAGGAAUGCUAACAUGAAUUAUAAAUUGAUCAAAAGCAGCCCCGAGAUGCCUGAAAAUGAAGCCACCUUCGCAAUAACUGCUGGAGGAAUUGGGGAUGCCAAGGAGUAGGUGGCGAAUUGAUGCAAAUUGCUUCUUAGUGCUUAUUAGGAGCUAAAGAAAUGGCAAAGCAGUCUCAAAUUUCAGGUCUCGAAGUAAGAGUUUGUUUUUUUCAUGUGUUAUUGUUAAAGGAAAGUCAGCAAAAGAAAUUUAAAUCUUACAUUUACGCUCAAAGUCUCUGAUGUGUAAUAACUAUACAUUGAAUGUCAAUUCAGGAGUAUAUAUAAACUAUUGAAAUAUAUGUAAACCUAUUGAAAACUAGAAGGGAGAACUGAUCCCCUCACUUUAGUGUGCAAAUAAGACACUAAACAGAUGGAAAACCUGAGUUCGAAAAUGUCCCAUUCCCUCUUGAACACUUAACAGAGAUAGAUGCACUUCCAAAGGAGGGAACCGUUUAAGGAAGGAAUGUUUACAGGACACACAAAAAAGUUUUUGUUGUAUUUACAGCAUUAAAUUGUAUAUUCACCUUUAGCAACAGAAAAGAAAUAUUAAACUAAAUUUUAAACCA